GCGGCGCGCCACAACUUGCAAGUCCGAGCGGAAGUUUUGAAAAGCUUGCUUUUUAAAUCUUAGCGGCGGACGGGUGAGUAACACGUGGGCAACCUGCCCUUGAGACGGGGAUAACUCCGGGAAACCGGAGCUAAUACCGGAUAACACAUAUCUUCGCAUGAGGAUAUGUUAGAAGGUGGCUUUUAGCUACCACUCAAGGAUGGGCCCGCGGCGCAUUAGCUAGUUGGUGAGGUAACGGCUCACCAAGGCGACGAUGCGUAGCCGACCUGAGAGGGUGAUCGGCCACACUGGGACUGAGACACGGCCCAGACUCCUACGGGAGGCAGCAGUAGGGAAUCUUCCGCAAUGGACGAAAGUCUGACGGAGCAACGCCGCGUGAGUGAUGAAGGUUUUCGGAUCGUAAAGCUCUGUUGUUAGGGAAGAACAAGUACCUGUUAAAUAAGCAGGUACCUUGACGGUACCUAACCAGAAAGCCACGGCUAACUACGUGCCAGCAGCCGCGGUAAUACGUAGGUGGCAAGCGUUGUCCGGAAUUAUUGGGCGUAAAGCGCGCGCAGGCGGUUCCUUAAGUCUGAUGUGAAAGCCCACGGCUCAACCGUGGAGGGUCAUUGGAAACUGGGGAACUUGAGUGCAGAAGAGGAGAGCGGAAUUCCACGUGUAGCGGUGAAAUGCGUAGAGAUGUGGAAGAACACCAGUGGCGAAGGCGGCUCUCUGGUCUGUAACUGACGCUGAGGCGCGAAAGCGUGGGGAGCGAACAGGAUUAGAUACCCUGGUAGUCCACGCCGUAAACGAUGAGUGCUAAGUGUUAAAAGGGUUUCCGCCCUUUAGUGCUGCAGCAAACGCAUUAAGCACUCCGCCUGGGGGAGUACGGUCGCAAGACUGAAACUCAAAGGAAUUGACGGGGACCCCCCAAGCGGUGGAGCAUGUGGGUUUAUUCUAAACAACGCCGAAAAACCUUACCAGGUCUUGACAUCCUCUGC
rnacentral:rRNA from 1 species